AGUGAACGCUGGCGGUAGGCCUAACACAUGCAAGUCGAACGGCAGCACAGUAAGAGCUUGCUCUUACGGGUGGCGAGUGGCGGACGUGUGAGGAAUACAUCGGAAUCUACUUUUUCGUGGGGGAUAACGUAGGUAAACUUACGCUAAUACCGCAUACGACCUACGGGUGAAAGCAGGGGAUCUUCGGACCUUGCGCGAUUGAAUGAGCCGAUGUCGGAUUAGCUAGUUGGCGGGGUAAAGGCCCACCAAGGCGACGAUCCGUAGCUGGUCUGAGAGGAUGAUCAGCCACACUGGAACUGAGACACGGUCCAGACUCCUACGGGAGGCAGCAGUGGGGAAUAUUGGACAAUGGGCGCAAGCCUGAUCCAGCCAUACCGCGUGGGUGAAGAAGGCCUUCGGGUUGUAAAGACCUUUUGUUGGGAAAGAAAAGCAGCAGGUUAAUACCCCGCUGUUCUGACGGUACCCAAAGAAUAAGCACCGGCUAACUUCGUG
rnacentral:rRNA from 1 species